UAAUUCUGCACUAUGUGCAGAAUUAUAUAACAUUAUUUUUAAGGUUUACUGUCCCUUUAAAUACUGUUGCAUGGGCCCUCUCAGAUAUGUACAUAUGCCUCUGAAAAACAGCAAUAACUUUAAUAGAUUUGUUUUUGCUAAUGGAAGUAUAUUGCAAAAAUGCUUCUAUUUCAAAUCUAAAUCAUCCGUGCAUAUUUACAUUUUGACCUUUCUAUCCCUUUAGUUUGUAGACUUUGUCAAUUAGCCAAUUAGAAAAUGCUCAGUUGUGCCACUGAGGAAGCUCAUGUGUGCGCUUUAUCGUACCUAGACAGAGUACUUUGAAUGUGUGUCCACUACUACAGCAGCACAAAUCUGUUUUAUCCCACUAGAAAGAGAGCAAGACUAGAGCCUUGGGUGUAGGCUCCCCUAGAAGAAUAGUGCUCGAGUGAUAUGGCGUCUGAUUGGCUGUAUCAUCCUAUGACUAUGAAAUAGGCAGGGGGAAACACUGAUUACAAGAGCUGGACUGAAGCUGCAUAUUCAGUAAGUUGCUGCUAUUAGACUGCAAAAAAACAUAUACCUGCAUUUAUGAAAAACCUGCCUAGAAAUGCUUAAUAGGCUAUGUUCUCCGCCAAUAUGCAUGUGCACAAAAUACUACCAAUAAAAUAUAGCUAGGAUUUAAACAAAUGCAUCAUUUUGAAACCAAAAUUCAGAAUAGUGAGAAAAGCUGAGAUUUUGUAAAUUUCUCCUUUAUUGUUGAAGUUUUAUUUAGGAAUUGAGCACUAGAGUAGACCUACAAGGACGCAAUGGUUGAACCAGGCGCAGCCUAUGUAAAGAUUGAAAACUCAUCAAAUUUGGCAGAAUGACGGAAUAUCAAUUGUCUAGGGUUGCUGACCCCUUGUCUAGGGAAUAAAAAAAAAAAUCUGAGCUGUGCGUUUCUAAAACUAUCUAUUACUUUUCUAUUGUACAUUCCACUAAACAAUUGACCAGUCUCUUUGAAAUAUGUUGAUGUGAGACAGAUUUUUAAAUUUGUCUCCUCUCCAAGAAAACAAAAAUUUAAAGGCAACUGUCUAACUCCAGAAUAAUUUUACCUGCAAAGGGAAAUUAAAAGCUUUAAAGAUGUGGUACUUCUGGUCAGGUUUCAAUUGUUUGGUGCUCAUUACUAUUAAGAAUAAAUGGUACUGCACUAUAAUUAAUAAAUAUUUAAUUUAAUAAAGGGGGAUCUCGUCAAUAACUUAUAGUAAAUAAUACGUGAUGGACGCUGAGCGCACCAUCUGCAGGUGCAAUAGAAUAUUCAAUUUUAAUAUUUUAGGAAUAGAUCAGCAUUAUUCAAUUUACAAACGUAUUGGAUGGAUAUAUAUAUAUUAUAUUUAUGAUUUAUGCUAACAUUUCUUUAAAACACGGUCAACCAAAAUUUCCAUUGCAGUCAUGGGACUUGAGUCCAUUGUAUUUUUUAAAAAUGUGAAUAGCUUUAAAAAAAUGAGUCCUAUUGACAAGAGUAUAUGGUUUAACCACAUUGUAGCGUUUAUAUUUUUGUUCUCCCUAAUUUAAUGUUUGAGCUAGAAAUUCCUGCUCUCUACAAAAGCAUUAUAGGGUUUUUCUAUUAUAUGAGUUGUGUGGUUCCAGAACUAGAUAGCAGCUUUGAAAUGUAUUGUCAUUGUCUGUCUGCCCAAGGAAAACCUUAGUACAGGGUGGCAAACUUAUGAUGCAAAAGCCCAAGGUGCUUCUCCAUAAUAAAUUUGUCUAGUCUACCACCAUACUCUUUGGUUGUAGUGUAGUGCUUAAUAAAUUAUUUUUCUUAUUUAUCAGCAGGUAAACUUUAAUUGUUGGCUUAUUGAUGAUUCUUAAGCAUUAAAGGGACAUUAAAACAAUAUUUAAUAUAGGAAAGUACCAUAGGCACAUGGAAAUUCUUUUUAGAUGAUUACCACCCAAUUGUGCACACGCUCUAAAAGUGUUCCAUCUCACGUUUGUAUAUCAUUGGGCUUUUGCUAACAAGUAAAUUUCAUAUAAAGAACAACUUUGCCUUUUGAGUAAAUUGAAAUCUAUUUUUUCCCACAAUAAUUUGUAGAGAUUACAUCAACCUCUGAUACUUAUGUGGUUAUAUGGAAUUUCUGUUUUAUUGAAGAAAAAGGGAAUCUUAUAUGCAGGAAAUGGAUCAAUAGGGCUUGGUGCAAAUUGGACAAGUGAGCAUCUAUACAAAAUUAUAAAAACCAAAAUAUAUGGUUCUUUACCGUUUUUGUUUUUGUAAAAAGACAAUGUCCUGAUCAUUUGUUUUUGUCAGUAUAUUUUUUUUUAUAGGAACAUAAUACCUAAGAUUAGUUUUGUUUCUAUGGCUUUGUGUUUUAUGGAUUAGGCAAAACCCACAAAUGUAAUUUGUGUUCACACUCAUUUUUGUUUUGUUUUAAAAGAUAUAACUUUUGUUUGUUAUUUACAAAUGUCUUUUAGCUAGAGACUUAAUUGACAACGUUGUCAUCAAUUCUAAAUUUGUCCAUAGUCUACAAAUAAGAAAUACUAUUUACACCUUAUUUCCUCUUAAAUGUUUUUAUACUUUUCACGCCCUGGAGUAAUCGCUUAAUUAGCAUCCCUGAUUGUGAGCGAUCAUUACUCAAGUACAUUGUGCAGAGAGUGCUGUUGAUUUUGCAUGUGAAUUCAUCAUCACUCUCUGAUUGUUAAUAUGGGAAAGAAUUAAGACUAAAGAGGAAAAAUUAUAGACGUGCACUUUUUGUAAUUCAUUUGAAUUUGAACACUUUUUCCCCUAAAAUGUUAAACAAAUCUUAAUAAAUGUUGUAUUUGUUUUAUUGAUUAUUAGAGCAAAGUGAGCAAAUCAACAAAUUUCUAAAAGAACGUGUUUCUUUUGCAUAAGAGAGAGUAAAUUUAAAGUUGAUGAAAAUGUUGACAUUUAUGUCCUUUUUUUAAUUUGGCGUCUUUUUUUCAUUUGUUAGAUUCCUGUUUUGUUCUGUAACAUAUAUAUAUAUAUAUAUAUAUAUAUAUAUAUAUAUAUAUAUAUAAAAUCUCUAAACCAAUAAGCCAUUAUAACUAAUAAGAAUGACUGACUGUUUUUGCGGUAUGACUAAUUACCAAGACAUAUUUCUUGAACAAUGAAUGUCAUUUCUUGGAGGACUUCCUCAAAGCAUGAUGUUUAGCUGAAGGGGGUGCUUAGCAUGGUGCUGAAUAGUAAAAUAAUCCCUAACAAAACCAGUGCUGUUUACAGAGUUCUUUAUAUUUUUGUGCUUUUUCAAUAAAUAGUUUUUACAGUAA